GCGGGCUUGGUCUAGUGGUACGAUCCUUGCUUUGGGAGCAAGUGGCCCCAGUUCAAGCCUGGGAGCUCGCC
rnacentral:tRNA from 1 species